rnacentral:rRNA from 1 species
GACGAAGGGGCUAGCGUUGUUCGGAAUUACUGGGCGUAAAGCGCGUGUAGGCGGUUGCCAAAGUCGGGUGUGAAAGCCUUGAGCUACAACUCAAGAAAUGCACUCGAUACUUGGUGACUAGAGGACCGGAGAGGAUAGUGGAAUUCCCAGUGUAGUGGUGAAAUACGUAGAGAUUGGGAAGAACACCAGUGGCGAAGGCGGCUAUCUGGACGGUUUCUGACGUAA